UACGGAGGAUCCAAGCGUUAUCCGGAUUCACUGGGUUUAAAGGGUGCGUAGGUGGGUAUGUAAGUCAGUGGUGAAAUCCCCGAGCUUAACUUGGGAACUGCCGUUGAUAUUAUAUAUCUUGAAUAUCGCGUAGGUAAGCGGAAUAUGUCAUGUAGCGGUGAAAUGCUUAGAUAUGACAUAGAACACCAAUUGCGAAGGCAGCUUACUUCACGAUUAUUGACACUGAGGCACGAAAGCGUGGGGAGCAAACAGG
rnacentral:rRNA from 1 species